rnacentral:rRNA from 1 species
AGAGUUUGAUCCUGGCUCAGAACGUACGCUGGCGGCACGCCUAACACAUGCAAGUCGAACGAAGUAGCAAUACUUAGUGGCAGACGGGUGAGUAACAUGUAGGUAUCUACCCUAUGGCCUGGAAUAACACGAGGAAACUUGUGCUAAUACUGGAUAAGUCUUUACGGAGAAAGCUUUAUGCACCAUUGGAUGAGCCUGCACUUGAUUAGUUUGUUGGUGGGGUAAUGGCCUACCAAGACUGUGAUCAAUAGCUGAUUUGAGAGGAUGAUCAGCCACAUUGGGACUGAGACACGGCCCAAACUCCUACGGGAGGCAGCAGUGGGGAAUCUUGCACAAUGGAGGAAACUCUGAUGCAGCGAUGCCGCGUGAGUGAAGAAGGCCCUUGGGUUGUAAAGCUCUUUCGUCGGGGAAGAAAAUGACUGUACCCGAAUAAGAAGGUCCGGCUAACUUCGUGCCAGCAGCCGCGGUAAUACGAAGGGACCUAGCGUAGUUCGGAAUUACUGGGCUUAAAGAGUUCGUAGGUGGUUGAAAAAGUUAGUGGUGAAAUCCCAGAGCUUAACUCUGGAACUGCCAUUAAAACUUUUCAGCUAGAGUAUGAUAGAGGAAAGCAGAAUUUCUAGUGUAGAGGUGAAAUUCGUAGAUAUUAGAAAGAAUACCAAUUGCGAAGGCAGCUUUCUGGAUCAUUACUGACACUG